UCAUCAAUACAUAUCCAAACUACCAAAAAAACUAUCAUUCCAUACCCAAAAAUCAUCAUAACCAUGUAUAAUCAGUUAACUUUACAAAAGACGUAACACACAAAAUACACACAAUCAUCCAUUAAAAAAAUUCUAAAAAAAAUAGAUAUCCAGACAAAGUUUCUUACUAAUUUUAAAAAAAUUCGACAGAGUUUUCUUUA
rnacentral:lncRNA from 1 species